rnacentral:misc_RNA from 1 species
GUUGAGCCCUGAUUAAACACAAAGCCCUGACGUGUGCAUGCGUCAGGGCUUUGUGAUAAAACAGGGCUUUUU